AGACGUAGGGUGCAAGCGUUGUCCGGAUUUACUGGGCGUAAAGAGCUCGUAGGCGGUCUGUUAAGUGAGAAGUGAAAUCCCCAGCGCUCAACGCGGGAACUGCUUUUCAUACUGGCAGACUUGAGGAAUGCAGAGGUUAGUAGAAUUCCUGGUGUACCGGUGACAUGGGUUGAUAUCAGGAGGAAUACCAAUGGCGAAGGCAGCUAACUGGGCAUUAUCUGACGCUGAGGAGACGAAAGCGUGGGUAGAC
rnacentral:rRNA from 1 species